ensembl:snoRNA SNORA31 small nucleolar RNA, H/ACA box 31
AUGCAUCCUCUGAUAGACCUUGAGCAAUUCUCCUGCUGCUCCUGGGUUUGCACUGUGAUGCAAAAGGAACUUCCUUGUGCUUUCUGCCUGCCUGAUCAUGUGGCAGCUCAGACUGAAUUGGGGAACACAUGC